rnacentral:tRNA from 1 species
UCCUGGCUGGCUCAGUUGGUAGAGCAUGUGACUCUUGAUCUCAGGGUUGUGAGUUUGAGUGCCAUGCUGGGUG